UCAUGAUCUCGCUCUUCACUUCCACGGCUUGGAAUGAGUACUCCUGAAGUACAGAGAGCAGGGUGGCAUUUGGAAAUAUUUGGCCCGGGGAAGGUGCCAGAGAUGCAUAUACGCUCAAAUGGGUUUUGCCAAUUGCAACUUGCCUUCCCUGGUGAUUCGGCAUCUGGAUUCUCCAUCCUAGGAUGCUGAGAUCUUCCAGGGCCUCCUGAGUCAUCUCUGCUGUUCUAGAAGAGUCUCCUGGAGAGGGCAAACCACAGACUGCAGGCCAAAUCCAUUCCACCACCUGUCUCGUAAAUAAAGCUACUUUCAUUCUACAACAGAAUUGAGUACUUGUGACAGAGAUCUUUACAGAAAAUGUUUGCUGAAACCCAC